rnacentral:rRNA from 1 species
UACGGAGGGUGCAAGCGUUAUCCGGAUUCACUGGGUUUAAAGGGUGCGUAGGAGGGCAGGUAAGUCAGUGGUGAAAUCUCCAAGCUUAACUUGGAACUGCCGUUGAUACUAUCUGUCUUGAAUACCGUGGAGGUGAGCGGAAUAUGUCAUGUAGCGGUGAAAUGCUUAGAUAUGACAUAGAACACCAAUUGCGAAGGCAGCUCGCUACACGAAUAUUGACUCUGAGGCACGAAAGUCGUGGGGAUCAAACAGGA